rnacentral:lncRNA from 1 species
UAUGGCUAUUUUUUCUAAGGACUGCCUAAUAGAUUUUUGUAAACUAGAAUUAGAGAUCUUCCUUGUUUCUUUGAAUUGAUUUCUAGUUUGAUGAUUGAAUUGAAUUGGUUGCGAUAUAGUAUGAUGAUGAUUGUUGUGUUUAUUGUGUGGGGAUGGGCAAUAGAUAACCCUAAUUUGUCUAUUUGUGAUUAGAUAACCUGAAGUCGCCAAGCGUGGUGCAUGGAGCUUAUUUAUGGAGUGUCAUACUGUGAGUAGUAUACUAUACACAUAUGUAUGUAUAUGCGUUAUCCCCUCCCAUUUGCAUUAAGCAUGCCUUUAAAUGCGAAUGAGAUUGAUGCAACUAAGUGAUCAAUAUGAUAUGUGUGCAUGCAUUGUGUGAAAAAUUGAUUUUAAUUGCUUAGCGGGAUUGAGUUGAAUCUCUUAGACGAUGGGGCACUCAUCAGACCAUCUGUAUUGAGGGUGCAAUCUUGAGGGAUAAUAUUAGUCUAGAAGUGCUUUGUUACCCCGACUAUUGUUGAUUGCUGUUUAACAAUAUUGAUGUGAUUAUUUGUGCUUAUAUUAUUUUGAUGCUAAUUGGAUAGGGAAAGUAGGGACCUCUAGGUGCCAAGAGGUUCUUGAUGGAUGACUAGAGGGUUCAAAAGUCCGAUAUUCAGGGAAUCAUGGUCCAUUAGAGUUUGAAAUGAACCUAUAUAUAAAGAUGUUUCUAUAUAGCUUUAAAAAUAUUUUAAGCAUUGAAAAAAUAAUUAAAAAUGUUUUCGAAAUAGCGUUGUCAUUUUCUAUAAGUUUUGAACUUGAGCCUUGUGUCCGAUGGUCUUUCAGUAGUCCGCAUAUGUUUUGAGUUGCACAUGUUCAUUCAUGCAUCAUACAAUUCACAUGUCAAAUACAUCGAGUAACAUAUUGGUUGUCAGUCUCAGACACAAUGAUGCGAGUUUAAAACAAAGAGAAAAUGAAAAACUAUACUAAAAUUUAUUAGAUAUUUAUUUAGAAUAAAGUUUAGUUUUCAUUUAAUAGGAGGAUUAAAGUGAAAAUAUGGCAUCGACAGUAGAUAUUAUAGAGAUGCAUGGCCUCUUGCAUGAGUAAGUUAGAACAUACCAAUUUAGUUUUAGUUAAUAUCUCCUUUUGUUUUUAAAUUUAACAUCUCAAGUAACUAUUUAUGUCCUAAUUUUCUUUUCUCGCUAUAAUUUCUUGUUGGCUUGAGUUGGGUUUAGUAAUUUUGGGCAUGUGAUAUUAUGAUUGGAUUGGAAAUUGAUGCUUGUAAGAUUUGGUCCAUGCUUGAAUUGGCACAAGCGAUGUCGAAGGCUAUUUAGAGUUUAAAUUGGAGAACUGAUGAUGAGUUUGAAGCUUUCAACUCUAAGAGUUACAUUGUUUGAUAAUGAUUCUUGGGCUAAUUAUAACUUCUUAAUUUUCUUAUUUUGUUACUAUCUCCGUAAUUAGGUUAGUAACUAUUCUUUAAUUUUAUUUAUUUGCAUGAAGUGAGUAAGGGCUUUGGGUUACUUUAGAUGAUGAUUAUUGAUUGUGUGCUGUGUUUGAUUUUGUGUUUAUGGCUUAAUUUUUGUAUUGUGGCAUGAGAUGUUAGAUUGGUGCUAUGCCAAAUUAUGUGAACUUUAGGUUGGUCCUUCGAAGUGUGAAUUUGAUUGGAAUUUCGGGAUUCUGUCCCUUGUGUGACAGUCCACUUGUUUGAGCAUUAUCUAGAGUUCCACAACUCCAAAUGAGGCAAAAUCUGAACCUAUAGAAACUUUGGUCCGUCCUCUAAAACUAUUUAUUUUGUGGAAGGCCUAAUUCUGCUGUUUUGGAAGUAAAAUUGAGUAUUAGAUUUUCAUAGUCAAUAUGACCUGACAGAUUGACGUAUCUGCAAUGUUUUAUUUAGUCCUCCUUGUUCACUUUUUCAAAUGGCGCAAGACCAAUUAGAAAUGAAACUAGACUUAAUGUCCUUGUGAUGUGGAAAAGAUGGUACCGGUAAUGCUUCCUAGAAUUUCUUGAGACAAUUUUGAGUAGAGCCUCAGAAAUCUGUCGUAGAUGACAGUUUGUUGAUUAUGUGCAAAUAGUAGUUUUAGAUGAUUAAUUGCUUGAGAAAAUCAAUUUUUUUUAUGCCAUGUGAUUAGUAUGUGAUAUAUUUGUUGAUACAUUGCUGGUGGGAGCUUUGGUUUUGCAAUUAAAGGUUGAUUUUAAUAUUUGUUUGCUUAUGCCCCGAAUUCUGUACUAAGUUUUUUCUUGACAGUCAAAUUUGAAAAUUAAUAUGCCAAAUUCUACUACAAAUGAAUGGUUGAUUUUUGGGUAUUUUGUUUCCCAUCUGUGUAGUUUAUGGGUAUAAAAUGGCACUUUGAUCCAAUUGGUCGGAUCUUGACUUGUGGCUAUUUUUCUAGGGACUACCCGGAGAGAAUUUUCUAAACUAGAUUAAGGAUCUUCCUUGUUUCUUGGAUUGCUUUCUAGUUUGGAAAAUUGCAAUUACCCCUUAAUUCAAUGAAUAUUUGACAGGCUUCGAUACAAGAAUUUAUGGGAUUUAAGCCCUUAGUUUAAGUUGAAAAUGGUGCCUGAUUCAGUCUGAUAUAAUCUGAUUAGAUCUUUUAUUAUUACACUGGUUUUGAUAUCAAUUUCACGAUACUUUAUUUAAAACUUGCCAUCAACAUAGAUGAAAGUGUUUUUUAGAACUUCUUAUGUUAAGACUGAUUUCUAGGUUGUGUCACUUAUAGAUUCUUUCAUGGCAACAGGUAAACGAUUAGUGAAGGUAAGGCCUUUUCAGGUUAUAGUGCCCAAUUUUUUUAUAUUAAUCAUUGAGGCUUUAAAUUCUAUAUGCUACAGGUCUCCUUUUGCAUAUCGAAAGGCAAAGGGAAUUAUUUGAAGCAUGAACCCUUUACAUUAGUGAUAGACAAUUGGCUCUUUCAUACCUUGCUGCCAUGCAGGUUAUUGCAUACAGUACACACCAUAUUGUGGAGCAUUGGAAUGCUCAUGGUCACAAAUUAAGAAGCAUUGCUUUUAAUCUUCAUGCAUUUAUUUUUCUGUAAUGAUAUGUUUUAUAUUAUGUUUAAAUAUAUAACUGCAUCUCAUACUUUCAAUUGAUUUGUGUUAUCAUGAGAUUGCUUUAUAAUGUAGUUGUUUAUAUUUUCAGCUAUGUGUUUCUUAGUCAGCGGAAUGAUGGCUAUACCUCCAGAUGUAAUUUGUUUUAUCACUUCCUGUUCUUUCUUGUAUAUCUUCUUCCCUUGCAGGUGACAUGCUGCUUGCGUGCUGUGGCCUUUCAAGAGACUUUGUUUGUUCAAGAACAUGCAAAUAUUAUUGGUACUUAUCUUCAUAAUCUCUUUAUACUGUUCACAUCUUAAAAUUUUUCCCACUGAUUUUAAAAUUAUAGUGCAUUCUUUUGAUCAAUGGGUAGCCUUUGUAAAGUUUCAUUUCUGCCACUGCAAUUUCUUCUCAUUAUUCUUUUCCCAGUUUGAUAUAAUGUAUGGUGAAGUCUCAAUGUUGACUAGUUAUUAAUUAUUGUGAACAUACGUUGUUAGGAAAGUCUUUCAAUCUUGAAUUGGUGGCUUGAAUAAUUU